rnacentral:rRNA from 1 species
UACGGGGGGGGCAAGCGUUGCUCGGAAUCACUGGGCGUAAAGCGCACGUAGGCGGCUUCUUAAGUCAGGGGUGAAAUCCUGGAGCUCAACUCCAGAACUGCCCUUGAUACUGAGGAGCUUGAGUCCGGGAGAGGUGAGUGGAACUGCGAGUGUAGAGGUGAAAUUCGUAGAUAUUCGCAAGAACACCAGUGGCGAAGGCGGCUUACUGGUCCGGUACUGACGCUGAGGUGCGAAAGCGUGGGGAGCAAACAGG